rnacentral:lncRNA from 1 species
UCUCACUUGUUUGGGUAAGUCUUUGACCUUUAGGUGAGUGAUUGACCCAAUGUGUAUGAUUCUCCCUCAUGAUGACCCAUCAAUACCAAUUGUUGGGGAAAAUAACAAAAGAAACAAAUUUCUACCCACGUGGAAGCAUACCCACAAAAAGGAAAAAAAACAAAAAAAUUCAAAAACAAAAUUCACAAAUUCAUUAUUCAACUUCAA